rnacentral:rRNA from 1 species
GGGUUCACCCAUUGGUCAGGCUUAAUUGUCUGUACUGGUGAGAUGAGUCUCUACCUUCUGAGGAACUUUCAUGCCAUUUAUUUGGUGUGAUGGGAAAUCAGGACUGUUACUUUGAAAAAAUUAGAGUGUUUAAAGCAGGCUAACGUCUGAAUACAUUAGCAUGGAAUAAUAGAAUAGGAC